ensembl:lncRNA
CUUCCGCACUCGCGUUUCCCCGCCCCCCUACGCUGGGUGGCGUUGUCAUGACGACGUCCGGUUCCCUGCGCAGCCUCCAGGCUCGCUUUCCAGCCUGGCGGCCCCUAGGCCAACCCCCGGCCGACACUCCCAGGAUGACCAGACAGCUGUCCGGACACUGCUGCCCUCGGGUAUCCCGCCCGGAUAGGAGCCCGCCACACUUUAGGGGCUGUAGAGAAAGAACAGAUAAAGAGCGAGGAAAAUGGGGUCGCAGGAGGAUAUUCACAGAGGGGUGUGCCCGUUAUUAGGACAGACGACACUGAAUAAAGCUAUCCAAGAUCUGAAAGAACGUACCCCAAAUUCUGAAGACGCUGAAAUAAAAUGAAAAGACUUUGUGUUUGCCAUUCUGUGCAGAACAGCAAGAUCAAGUGGAAAAUGUAUAUCUGCUGCUCCAAAAAGUCUCUUCCACCUCAGAGCGAUCUCCGUGUUUGCAUUGCUAUCCUGUGGUUUCCUUUGGUCUUCUAUUACAUUUCUAGAGAAGCUCGGAACUAUAUAUAUAUAUAUUUUUUUUUAAUAUCGAGCAGAAACAAAAUUUAAAUUGUAAAAACACUCAUUUAAAAGAAAUUCAGCUUACCACUGUUUUUCAUGUAAUUUCGCAACAGGAUCCCUUCUGCAGUAUCUUUGCACUACAUGCAGUGUGAUGCCAAAUCUAACAUAAACACAGCUUGAAGCAUCUUUUCAAUUUUCCAUAAAGAAAAUAGAAGAUUCAUUCAUUUGUAACUAGUUUCUUUCAAGCUUCCGGAGGGAAAUCAUACUCUUUCCAAGAUGCUUUUUUCAAACCCUCCACUGCAAGUAGCAGUUCAGUCUAUACCAAUAAAUCAAUUACUAAUAAACUCACAGAAAAUGAAUUACAAAAUAGCUUACAAGCCAUUCUACUAACAUACUUACCAUACAGAGAGAUGUAAGCAUGUGAAUCAAUCAUUCUCUACAUAAUGAAAUUAAAGAUGAUUCAAGUCUUGUC